GACCAUUCUUGUGCAGCCCAGCAUCAUCAAAAGACUGCAUGCAUAUGACUGCCUUUCCCAACAAGAGAGAUUUUCUAGGACAUGGCAAACUAGAUUGUAACAAGCAGAAGACUACCAUUGACAAUAGGUAGAAAAUCUAGGAAAACCUACAAAUAUAUCACAAGCUAUCAUCAGAGAAUCACAGAAGACAAUGGGAGACCAAGAUUGUAAACAUGGGCGAAUCUUUAAGAAAUGAGACAAGAAUCUGCUGCUGCUGUUCUUCUGGGGCUUCUGUCAAUUCCAGGCAUUUGUUGUAG
rnacentral:lncRNA from 10 species